rnacentral:lncRNA from 1 species
CUGCCAAGACGUCAUGGGACCUUGUCUCUUUAACCUCGCCAAACCUCGGAAGUGAGUUGGUUUUGGUGACUUGUCUCGGGUGUCAGUUCUCACCAUGGUGCUGUGAAUGGCAGUGGGAUGUAAUGUUCAUGAGGCAUAGCACUGUCUGUCUGUUUCUGCAGACAUGGAGGACUCAGGAGUGAAGUGUUGCAUGUGGCACAGUGUCACUCUGUGAUGCAGAGCUGUGGGUUUGAUGAUGAUGAUCUUGCUGUCAAGAUCAUCAUUGUUCAAGUCAGAAGCAAAGCUGUGGAUGACUCACUACUAAAGAAGCAUUGUUUGUUGCCUUAAUGUGAUAGGUCAUGAAUAGGUAAUGAAAACAACCACCGGUG